rnacentral:rRNA from 2 species
UUGGACCUGAUAUCAGGCAAGAUUACCCGCUGAACUUAAGC